GUCAUCCUAACUGCGAGGUCGUGUUCCUUCCCCCUAACACAACCUCCAUAAUACAGCCCUUGGAUCAAGAAAUAAUCGCCAAUGUCAAGCUAGAAUUCUACAGGAGAACUUGGAAGAAGCUUGAAGAAGCACUGGACACUGAUGAUAUCCUUCUGCAAGUGGAGGAGGAGAUUGACGAGCCAGACCAGCAGACAGGCGACCCUUCAGCAGAGCUGCAAGUGGAGGAGGAGAUUGACGAGCCAGACAAGCAGACAGGCGACCCUUCAGCAGAGAGACAGCUGCAGGUGGAUGAUGUGCACGUGAGUGAUGAGCCAUACGGCCAGACAGGUGUUCAUCCACAAGCAGAGUCAGCCAUGCCACUGACCACUGCAGAGGUUGGGGCCCCACACCACUCACAGACAGUGCAGCACACACCUGAUACAACAUUCCAAGCAGCGCCGCCAGGCAGACCCAAGCAGAUUAUGACUGCACAG